AUGGCUCCCACACACAGUGGGGCUACGGCCCCUGUGCGUGCCCAGGGCCCAGCCAGGUACUCGGUACUGGAUCAGGGACUGCAGCAACAAGCCCCAAAGAGAAAACUUGUGACUUGGGGAGGGGGUGUGAGAAAGGGAGGGGAGACGGGAGGACGCAACCGCCCUGGGACUAGGGAACUGGAUAGGGUAGGGUGGGAAUGGCAAGGAAGGACUACAGGUCGGGGUCACGAUCCUAGCGGCCGGUCCUGUCCCCAUCCCUCCCGAACCUUAUCCUCCCAGAGCUUGAGGUGUCUAGCAAGGCCCCCCCACCCCGCCCCGGCCACAGGGGCAGAAUUCACCACAAGGACAGGGUUGCAAAGGUGCCCGCGUGGGUCGGCCGUAAGGUCUGUCAGCGCUCCCCCCCCCGGGGGGGGUACUCCCGCUCCCAGGUGCGCCCCUCACCCAGGGGGCAGUGGGAGGAACCCCUGGCGCCCCGCCCCCCCGCGGCGCCCAGCCCCAGGGCGCCCGGGCUGGGAGGGGGCUGGGGGUGGGGGUGGGGGCGAUGCCCCGCCCCCAGCUCGAGGCCUAGCCCGUGCCCAUCCCAGCAGGCCCAGGCGGGCAGCGAGAGGCCUGGCGGGGCCCCGGGGCUGCAGCUGGGCUCUUCUGGAGACCAGUAACGCUGGCUCAGAUUCCUCCCCGACCGCAAGAAUGCAGAAGCCUCCCCUCCCCCCGCCCCAGCACCCCACCCCGCCCCCUUCGGCAGAGCCCGAGCGGAGAGGCAGAGCGAGCGAGCGAGCAAGAGAGCCAGCGAGCCGGGGAGCGGGAGACGGGCAGGGCUGCAGCGUGUCUCUCUCGGCCCCGCACGCGCCGCCCGGACAGACCCACGGCCAAGUGCGGCGAGGGGCCCGGCGCGCGCCGCGGCGGGGCCGAGGUUGGGCUCGGCGCUGGGCGCCGUCGGGCAGGGGCUCCGGGACCCACCAGCACCCGAACUCUGACUCACACACCCUCGCAGCUCGCACGUGGACGGGGAGACAAAGACACGCACGGAGCCCAGGAAACUAG
rnacentral:lncRNA from 1 species